UCAAAGACAAAUGCAAUAACAUUCACAAUUCACUACUUCACCCAAAAUUCACUACCAAACACCAAACACACAAUCAACAACACCAACAAUUUCACGACCAACACCCAUUUCAAAGCAUUAACCAUAAUCAACAGCCAAUUCACGAAUUGGAUAAAUAAUUAACAAAAUUAGGGCAUAGUACACUUACCAAUUCACGCAACACCAAGGAGCAAAAACUACUUCACCGGCGUCGCAACAAGCUUGGUGAACAAAGCAGCGUCUUUCCGGCAACAACCGCGGCUCCGGCGAGUAUACAAGUGGCGGAGACCAGACUUGGGAGGGAGUCAGUGUGUUUUGGUGUUCGUGGGAAUGUCUGAGAGUGAGUUGUAAAGAGGGAAUUCUACUGCCUUGAUAAAUCGAAGAGGAAGACUGAUUUUGUAAAAAAAAAAAGCAUUCAGUGUAAACCGCUACUUCAGGUGGCGGUUUACUUAAACAAAAAAGUAGCGGUUUUUCAGUGAUAAACCGCUACUUCAAGUAGCGAUCUACUAAAAAAAAACGGUUCAACUUUUUUUUUUUUCAUGAACCGGUGACUUAGACGGUAUUCAGGGAUUAUAAAUAAAAGCGAUUGUAUUUACGGAAUUGCAAUUGUUCUCCACUAUAUUUUUUGGGAAAGAGCUCUCUUUUUCCUUCUCCAUUACCUGUUUUUACUCUCUGCCUUUCAUUCGCUUUUCUUUUUCCCAUAUUGCUUUCUCUCUCCUCCUUCUCCCCCAAUUCUCGACGGCGUUGGUAAUGGCGGCUGAAUGCUCAAUUUUUUUAUUUCCUUCUCUUUCAUUAGCGGUGGGGCCGGCGACUACUUAAUAGCCUCUCCGACCAGAACGUAGCGGCGGAGGCUGCUGUUGCUUUGGAUGGGGGGCAUAGAAGAAGUCAUUUGGAGUAUAAUGUUUCGAUUAAGGCGAAAAUUGAGAAGUUUAAUGAGGAAUUGGUCGUUAAUGGAUCAAAUGAUGAUGGGUUAGUGGUCGAGAUUGAGGCUGAGAAAGCUGAAGUUAAUGGGGAUGUUUUAGUGAGAGAGAAUAUUGAGAGUGAAGAUUUCUAUGACCUGCAGGAAUCUAUGAGUUUUUCGGCUUCGGCUGGUAGCGAGGAUUACGAUGGUGAGAGGUCGGCUAGGGGUAACACCCCCAUGGGAGGAGAGUUUUAUGAUGCUUGAAAAGGGUUUUGGAAGUGUGAAAAGCUAAUCUAUUGACUGAAUUGAGGAUUAAGAAGUUGAUUGUGUCAAUUUGGUUUAUUUGAGUUGAUUUAUUAAGUGGGGUUUGUUUGAUUUUUGAGGUACCCAUUUUUUUUUUAUAUUUUUUGGAUUCAAUUGUAGUUUAAAAUUGAUCAGAUUUUUCUAGGUUUGAAAAUUUUGGAUCUGGGUGUGAUGAUUUGCUGAUAAUUUUUCAUGCUUUUAAGGGUUUUGGAAGUGUGAGAAGCUUCUAUUGACUGAAUUGAGGAGCAAGAAGUUGAUUGUGUGUGUGAAGGUAAUUGUGUAGAUAAAUGGGAUGGGAUCUCAAGGGUCUAAACUCGAAAUGUGUUGCUUAGGUUCACCUAAUAGGACGGUAGUGCUUGAGGCUCCUGAUGUUGGUAGGUCAAGCAGUUUCUCAACAUUUUAAGCAUAGUCAUUUUCUUGAGUGUGUGUUUGUUUUCGGAGAAUUCCAGUCUGAUUUGAGAUCAUGUUUUGUGAAAGGCAAUGAGGAUGAUAAUGGGUUUGGGUUAUUUGCAUUCCGCGAGUUCGCAUAUGAACUACUUAAAAAUGCCACAUCAGGUUUUGCAGUUGAGAACAUUGUGUCUGAGCAUGGUGAAAAAGCCCCGAAUGUGGUGUAUAAAGGGAAACUAGAGAACCAGACUAAAAUUGUCGUUGAGCGUUUUAAUAGAAGUGCAUGUCCUGAUUCUUACCAUUUUUUGGUAAGGAUGCUCUCUUAUUGUCCUUUGAUCCAAAUCACAUACCGUGCUUUACCUUCCAUACGAGUGGUUCUUUGAGUUUUGUCAUGCUUUAGUAGGCACUCAUGUUUGAAAUUUUAAUCUAAUGAACAUAGUGAAUUAGCAGAUGAUUGGCAUGUCAUUUAUCUGCUCUCCUCUUCUCUUGAUUAUAAUGUUACUUCUUGAGAGAAAAGACCUAAUGAAUUGUUUAUGGCUGCACUGUGUUAGCUCAGAAUUAAUUGCUUAGGGAAUAUAUAAAUGGUUGCUGAAAAUCGAUAGUAAUCUCUAACUUUUAAGGCUGAAUGCUUUCAUUUAAUCUUUUGGGUAUGUGGUACUAUUCCCGUUGUUUGAGAUUAAUUUUUCCUGGUAGUAAUAUGAGCAGGUAGCAUUCAGGACAAAGGUAUUUCACCCAAUAUCAACAGCAAUGGAAGCAUUUGCUUAGACAUCUUGAAGGACACAGGCUGUGGGGAUAGCAUGGCCAACAAUUCGAUCUUGCAAAAGAAUACCUUGGCAUCUAUUUCUACGAAGAGCAAAAUGCAGACGGAGGAGAUAUUGAGAGUUGCAUGCCUUUAUGUCAAGGUUAACAUGAACGCUAAAUGGACGAUGUUCUUUACUUGAGGAAAGUUGACCUCCAAAACAAUAGAAACUAUAUGGAUCUCUCUUCUGCAUCUAGAGAAGAUGUUCAGCUUCUUUAUAAAUGACGACUUGCCUUGAACAAGGAUCACUUUGCUGGGCUACCAGGAGUACAAGCAUGAACAACCAAUUCAGGUAGAGUGUAAAGAACUAUUUUAUAGAGAACUGCAACCGCUUGGUGGUUCCCGUGCUGAAAAGCUUCUGCCAGGAUGUUCAACUUUGGAGGAGGUAAGUUGUUUUAGAAAGCCGCUAGGUUUCUGGUGGGUUGUGGUGUGCUGUGGAGUUCGAUUAUGGUUUGGCUUGGUUUUGUUGAGGUAAGUGUUAUGGUGUGCCUUGAUUUAGGUGUUCUAGGUAAAUUGCUAUUCAAUUAGCUUUCUUAUCAACUUUGGUUAUUAUAGCAAUUUAUUAGGGAUCUAGGUUUUUAAUUGGUUGAUUCUGAUGUGAAAUUGUGAGAUGGGUUUUUGGGGACUGGGUUGAAGAAAUUUGAGGGAUUUUGUUGGUUUUGUACCUUAAAACAGUCAAUUUAGGUAAUAUGAUUGUCUGUCCGGCCAUAAAUCCAAUUUAGUUAUCAGAGUACUGAAAUACAGAGUAUGCAGUAUUUAUAUUGUUGUUAUACAGAAAAUUGGCGUCAAACUAUUGAAUUCGAAAUAAAUUUAAAUAAAAAAGAAAUCAAAAAUCAAAGAACAUAAGUUUGAUACUAUUAAUCGUAUAAGUUUGAUACCGUUGAAUUGCAAUUUUAAUGUUUUGUGUAUUUACAUUCUUCACUUUCAUCUCAGUUGGCAUUUAACAGUUGAUAAUUUGGAAACCAAGGCCUUGAAGUCAAUGCAUGCAUGUUUAAUGUCCGGAAGUUAUACUCGGAUUGGACUUGCUGCACAAGAGGAUGUAUGUUCAUCGAAAACCAAAACAAAGGCAGAAAAUUGAACUAAGAAUUACUCAUAAGCUGCUCAGUACAUGAUCAUGGUUGUGGCUGCGUAAAACAAGAGCUGAUCAUUAUCAUUGUUUUUCGUAGGAGCUGUAGUGAGUGCUGACUUCUUUUGGCUCAUUUACCUUAGUUACAGCUGCUUUUUAGGUGAUUCUUUUUUUGAAUUUGGGUAUUUUUUUGUCUACUUUCUGCUUUUUAGGUGAUUCUUUUUCUUGUAAAAUUUCAGAAUUUUUGGAGAGUAUUUGCUAUUAAACUUGGGCGGAUUAGUUCAAACUGGUCAGUUUUGGUUCGAA